GGGCGAAUAGCUCAGUUGGGAGAGCGCCUGCCUUACAAGCAGGAGGUCACAGGUUCAAGUCCUGUUUCGCCCACCA
rnacentral:tRNA from 1 species